GAGACACUGACACGCCGGCAGCAUGAUGAUGAUGUCACUGAUUCUACUGCUGGCCACCCUGGGGCUCCUUGUUCAGGGUUCAUCAGGAGAAAUCAUCCUGACUCAGUCUCCUGGAUCUCAGUCUGUUGCUCCAGGACAGUCUGUCUCUAUCAGAUGUAAAGCCAGUUCUAGUGCUGGUACUUGCCUAAACUGGUACCUUCAGAAACCUGGAGAAUCUCCUAAACUUUUGAUUUAUUAUGCUACAAGUCGUCACACUGGAGUUUCCGACCGUUUCAGUGGAAGUGGAUCUGGAACUGACUUCACUCUGACCAUCAGUGGAGUUCAGACUGAAGAUGGAGGAGAUUAUUAUUGUCAGCAGUGUUACAGCUACCCGUUCACACAGUGAUACAACGUCGUACAAAAACCUCCUCAGCUGGAGAGGAACUGAUCUGACUCAACAGCUGCACACAAACUACACCACUACAUGAUUUAUUAACAUACAUUUAUAAGUUAGAUCACAAUAACACUUUCAGCAUGAACACAUUUUG